GAUGAAGAACGUAGCGAAAUGCGAUAAGUAGUGUGAAUUGCAGAAUUCAGUGAAUCAUCGAAUCUUUGAACGCACAUUGCGCCCCUUGGUAUUCCAUGGGGCAUGCCUGUUCGAGCGUCAUUUGUACCUUCAAGCUCUGCUUGGUGUUGGGUGUUUGUCCUUGCUCUAGUGGCGGGACUCGCCUUAAAGUAAUUGGCAGCCAGUGUUUUGGUUUUGAAGCGCAGCACAAGUCGCGAUUCAAGUCUAUACGCUAGUUUCUACAAGUCUUUUAUCACUUUUGACCUCGGAUCAGGUAGGGAUACCCGCUGAACUUAAGCAUAUCAAUAAGCGGAGGA
rnacentral:misc_RNA from 1 species